GCAUGGUAAUGGAUUUAUGGUGGGGUCUCUCCGUGCCCUCCCAUAGUGUACCCCAUGCUAGAUUAAGAAUCUGCUCCCAACCAUUGACAGACCUAAAUGCCUGUAGGUUUGUUCACUGAAGUGAGCUGCACACUG
rnacentral:snoRNA from 1 species